rnacentral:rRNA from 1 species
GAUUUCUGGUUCGGUGCACUUGGCCCGCCUCGGUCUUCGGGGUUGUGUGCCGGUGUGCGCCAGCCAUCCUUCGGGAGAACCAUUCUGCCCUUCACUGGGUUGGAGUGGGGAUCCCGAUCUUUUACUUUGAAAAAAUUAGAGUGUUUAAAGCAGGCUUGCGCUGUGAAUACAUUAGCAUGGAAUAAUAAGUUAGGACUUCGGUUCUAUUUUGUUGGUUUCUAGGACUGAAUUGUAAUGAUUGAUAGGGAUAGUUGGGGGUGCUAGUAUUCAGUGGCCAGAGGUGAAAUUCUCGGAUUCACUGAAGACUAACUUAUGCGAAAGCAUU